rnacentral:lncRNA from 1 species
GACUAGCCGCCGAUUUUGAGUUCUAAUGUCCAGUUUUUUUUCCUUGGAUUGUCGCCGGGAAGAGUCGUUGGAUCUUUGCCGAACUAAGGCAGGAUCCACGCCACUCCUCUCUUCUUCUUCCGGUCAUCUAGCCGUGUUUUCCUUUUACUUAAGCUGGCAAGUCGUCGGGAUUUAAUCUAAAACAUGGGUGCCCUGUUUCGGGGUCUCUUCCUCCCGUGUUCAUCGUUGUCGGCUGCUAGAUUUGGCUGAGCCUUGCCACCCCUAGGAACCCAUGUGAACGUGUGGCUACCGGUUAGGGAGAUAGCCAAGUUUCAAGACGAGUUUGAUUGGGUCUUUGAUGAUUUUCUUCUUCCCUUCUUUGCAUCGGGCAACUACCGUCGCCGACGGUGUCGUGGCUGAAGGUCCGCCCGUGGCCAUCGUCGCCAGGGCUGGGCCGACUUGGUGGCCUGCCACGCUCUAAUCUAAGAAGAGAGGGAAAGAUCGGCUUCCCCUGUUUGAGAAGGAAGAAGAGAGUCU